rnacentral:rRNA from 1 species
CAGCCGCCGCGGGAAUACGGAGGGUGCAAGCGUUAAUCGGAAUUACUGGGCGUAAAGCGCACGCAGGCGGUCUGACAAGUCAGAUGUGAAAUCCCCGGGCUUAACCUGGGAACUGCAUUUGAAACUGUCAGGCUGGAGUCUUGUAGAGGGGGGUGGAAUUCCAGGUGUAGCGGUGAAAUGCGUAGAGAUCUGGAGGAAUACCGGUGGCGAAGGCGGCCCCCUGGACAAAGACUGACGCUCAGGUGCGAAAGCGUGGGGAGCAAACAGGAUUAGAGACCCCGGUAGUCCCUGUCUCUUAUAC